rnacentral:lncRNA from 1 species
GCGGUUGAUCAGGUAUCUGAAGAACCAGUAGCACCAGAGUCUGAUGCUCCGGCGGAAGCAGUGGUGGAAACUAAAGAGGUGGUAGAGGUUGAAGAAGCAAAGGAUGUGAAAGAAGAGCCAGAAGUAGAGAAAACUGCGGAAGAGGAGACUCCCGAGGAAGAAACAUCUCAGGAGGAACCAGCACCAGAGACCGUUGUUGAGGAGGCUCCCAAAGAGACAACUGAGCCUGCAACUGAUGCAGAAGCACCGGCACCGGAAGCUCCGGUUGAAGCUCCGAAGGAGGAAGAAGGCGGUGAGAAGAAGAAGCCUGAAGCAGAAGAAGCUGCAGUUGAGAAGCCUGAGUAAAGAGUCGAAGGGUACGGUGGUUUUCUUGAAAGCUUGUUUAGUGGGUAAGCUAGGGUUGGUCAUUGCAUGCCAUUCUGUAAUAUUCCUCUUCUAGCUUGUGGUUUAAUAAGAGUACUAGUUUCUUUUUAGGGUAAUGGGUCU